rnacentral:rRNA from 1 species
GUGUCAGCCGCCGCGGUAAUACGUAGGGUGCAGGCGUUAAUCGGAAUUACUGGGCGUAAAGCGUGCGCAGGCGGUUUGCUAAGACAGGUGUGAAAUCCCCGGGCUUAACCUGGGAACUGCGCUUGUAACUGGCAAGCUAGAGUGUGGCAGAGGGGGGUGGAAUUCCACGUGUAGCAGUGAAAUGCGUAGAGAUGUGGAGGAACACCGAUGGCGAAGGCAGCCCCCUGGGCUAACACUGACGCUCAUGCACGAAAGCGUGGGGAGCAAACAGGAUUAGAUACCCCUGUAGUCC